UUCUUUCAUUCCAUCAGAAAUAUUGACGUUCCUUUACCAUUAAACGGGUCUGAACGUGUAAAUUACACGAAAUGCUUUUUGACAAAAUAACAUUAAGCUGUACAGCAAAGCAAAGCAAAAGCAGCAACCGCUUAACAUCAGCUCAAUGGUCCUUAAAGUAAGAACCAUGACUGAUUAUUUCUAUUUAUCACACGGCUGUCAGGUUUUAUCAUUUGACUAAACAUUAUAUCGGUGCAAUAUUACACAAUUUGUAUUUGUAUAGAAAACCAAAGAGCAUUCAUCCUUCUUCACCGAACUCCUUUGUGAAUC
rnacentral:lncRNA from 1 species